AGAAUGAACGCUGGCGGCGUGCUUUACACAUGCAAGUCGAGCGAGGCGGGUAGCAAUACCCAGUCGAGCGGCGAACGGGUGAGUAACGCGUGGAUUAUCUGCCCUGAGGUGGGGGAUAACCCGGGGAAACUCGGGCUAAUACCGCAUAACACCGUGAGGUCAAAGGGGGCGCAAGCUCCCGCCAUGGGAGGAGUCCGCGUACGAUUAGCUAGUUGGUAGGGUAAUGGCCUACCAAGGCGACGAUCGUUAGCCGGCCUGAGAGGGUGAUCGGCCACACUGGAACUGAGACACGGUCCAGACUCCUACGGGAGGCAGCAGUGGGGAAUUUUGCGCAAUGGGGGAAACCCUGACGCAGCAACGCCGCGUGGAGGAUGAAGCCCCUUGGGGUGUAAACUCUUUCGAUCGGGAAGAUAAUGACGGUACCGAUAUAAGAAGCCCGGCUAACUUCGCGCCAGCAGCCGC
rnacentral:rRNA from 1 species